AUUUCUUUCUAAGAAAUAAAAUUUCAAUCUGUACUUUCUCAAAAUCUUUCUCCUUCUCUCCUUUUCUGUAUCUUCUCAUGUCGUUCAUUUUGUCUCUGAAUCCAUCAAGCUUUCAGCUUCUUGGUGACAUCUCCGACGUCUAAAUGGACGUGGCAAUCACUGCUGUCCGCUCACCGGCGAUAGUCCUUGGAGGACCGAUCAGCGCCUCCGCCUCUGCACGCCUCAGUUCCACUUCUAGUUUUCCAGAGAGCUCAAGCAAGAUCGUCGAAGAGGUUUUGUAGUUAGAGCAGCUUCGUCAUUUCCCGAGUCAUCUGAAUCGGAUGUCCGUGCCAAGAUUGCUCCUCUUCAGUUGGGCAGUUUCUUUCUCAGAUUUUGAGCAGCUCCAAACAGACCGCGAUGGAUUUUGAUUUUGUACAGAAGUUCAUUGUAAUAUUUCUUUGACACCAUCUGUAAUCCCAGAUCUGUCUGGUAAGAUUGAUUUGUGGCCAGAUGAGAUGGUAAACAUGUGAAGCUGAUUCAAAACCACCUGAGCCUCAUUAUGGGUAACAAAGUAGGAGAUAUAACAUCGAUUGCUGAAAUCAGCAAAUUCAGUGAUGUAUGGUUCCAUUUUGUCUUGAACUGAGGAAAGGUGUAUACUCCUCAGAGCCCAUACAAUACAAAACAUAUAUUACAAUGUGUCGGUACUAUAGUGAAGGCAAAGGUUAUCUUCAAGGUACAUGUUUUGCUUAUUUAUUAUAAUUCAUUUGUAUAUACUGUACUAUAUUUUGCUUAUUGUAUGAUAGUGUUUGUUGUUAUUUGCUGUCUGUUAGAUAGUUGGAUUUUUCCUAUUUAGGUUUAUGGUUUACAUUGUAUGUGAGAUAAUUUGUUAGAUGGAUGGGAAGGCUAUAUUAUUCAGAGUAGAAGUGAGCGCAAUUUGUAAUUUAAUGAUCUAAUAAUAAUACCCUAUAAUUAAACGGUAGUA